GACUAAAUAGUAUAUUUUUAAAAACAAAGGUGCACAUUGAAUUCGAGUUUACUUUCAGCCAGACUAAGCUAGACCCCUUCUCAAAAAAGAAAAAAAAUUCCAAAGCACAUUGAUCAACUUAUACAACUUGGUGCAAUCAUAAUUUAUUUAUUUUUUUGGUCAAUUUUGGCAUAUUUUCGUAAAUUAGAUUCAAUCGUGGCUAGGGGAGAGAAUUGGGUCUGAAGACACGUAUGUAGU
rnacentral:misc_RNA from 1 species